GGUUCUAUAGUGUAGCGGUUAUCACUCCGGAUUCUGAAAACAAUCUCUCGUGCUCCAUCAUACAAAGUACGUAAGAGAAAUUCUUCCGGCAACCCCGGUUCGAGUCCGGGUAGGACCU
rfam:Podospora anserina genomic DNA, chromosome 7.